GCUUAACCAAUCCACUAGCCUCGGCUUCCCAAAGUGCUGGGAUUAGAGGUGGGAGCCACUGUGCCUGGUCUGGUAUUCAGUUUAGAGCAGAAUAUUCAUCUCCAUCACCAGUUCAAAGGUGAGUAUCUGUGUGGCUACUGUACUUGCUCUUGUUACUGAGUGGAAGCCUGGACUUGUGAACCUCUUCAGGGACCCUCCUUCUCUCAGGAGGGCAGUGGGCAGCCCUCAGUCUCCCUGGCUUAUUGGGGACAUGCUGCCUCUCAUCCUGUGAGCUCCAGUUGGAACCCUUGAGUUGUCUGAGAGGUAAGAUGGGCUGGGCCCCAUCUAAAAAGACAAUCUGCUGCUUCCUCAACACCAAUGAAUCCCAAAUUGUCAGAGCUGGAAGGACAUUUUUUGAUUACUGGUAGAUUCCACCCUACUUCUAAGGACGCUAUAGAUGGGGAGGUGGAAACUGGGGCCGAGGGAAGUCCAGGGACUUACCAACACCAUAUCUUUAAAUCUAUUAUGAUUUUUUAAAAAGUCCCUGUUUGGGAUGGAAAGGCAUGGUCUAAAUAAGCCCUCAAAGAAAAGCCAUUUUAGGACAUUUUUGCACUUCAGGACAUUGGCUUAUGGUGGGUCAGGGGAGUGGGGAGUGUGGUGUCCAGUCUCUGCUGGGUGAUGCCUUAGAUGUUGAUAUCAGGGGGGUACAUGAGCUCAGGUGUCAUGGGGUGCAUGGGGCAGUGUCCUGGAAGGAGGAUGGGCAGCAGUGGUGUAAGGAGUUCUCCGGCUCCACAGGUCCAGGGCCUGGCUCCUUGCCUGUGCCUUUGGCUGAAGCAGAGAAUGGCCCCAGCAGCUCACCCAUAUAUCAUGGGGUGGCCAAGGCACUCCUGUGCUUAGAUGUCCUGGAUUUAUGGCGUCAACUGGACAAGGUGCUGGUGCCUGUGCCUUCUGUCUCUGCUCUCCCAGCCCCAGCAGCACCAGCUCCUCCGGCUACCUGGUGCUUCUGGUCACCCAGGCCCUGCAGGCCCCAGGCCUCCUCCUCCCCAGAGCCUUCACUCAAGCCUUCCCCCUCCCUGCAGCCCCACCUGCUGUUUCCCCACCAGGGGGACCCUCCCCCGACAUCCCGCACAGCCUCCAUCCAGGCAGGGACUCCUGUGAUGAGCUGCCUGUGAGGAAGAUGCCUGGAGACUGUGUCUGAUCCAUCUCUGAACCUGGACAAGCUUGGCUUGUGGGCGGUCGAUGAGCAUCUGAGGAAUACAUGAAAGUGACUUUCAGAGGCAAUGUGGACGUCCCCAUCUGCUCCCAUCUGUUCUUCUUAACUAAGGAAAGACGGUUGAAGAUUGCAUCAUCAGACUUUCCAGUUCAGGAUGAAGUGUACUUAUGAACAGCAACCAUAUGCAGAAACUAAAGACUCAGAAAGUUCUGCAGGCUUUCUUGGAAACUAGACUCUAUACAAGAGAAAUAGAAACUAAAAGCAGCACUCAGAAUAUUACCCAAGGAUAAUGAAAGCAAAUGUCUCUCCCCAGACCCAUCAAGAGGUAAAUGUGUAUGAAGCCUCAGGGCAUGCCUGUUGGGGCAGAGGCUCCUCAGGGCUCUUGGGAGUUAAAAUGGCCAGAGAAAACCAAACCGCACCCAGCCCCUGCUCCUCCCUGACUCGGUCUCUCUGCUUUUCGUUCUUCAGUGUUACUGUGGAUAUGAUAGGUUUUAUCUCCGCCUUUUGGCUCUUUGCUUUCUUCUGUCUCAUUACUGCAUUAUUUCUUUUUCCUCCUUUGCUACCUCCUUUUGUCUUAAAUGGAUGUUUUAAAUAUAAUAUUGUAACUUCUUUACUCAUUUAAAAAAGUGUAUUUUUGAGUUAUUUUCUUUUUGGUUCUCUAGGACUUAUAUAUAUAUACCUUAAUGUGGAAUCUAUUUCAGAUUUAUACUAGCUUAAUUCCAAUAAGAUAUAGAAACUUACUCCUAUAUUGCUCCCUUCUCUUCCCUCUUUUUUUUGUGCUAUUACUGUUAUACAUAUGACAUCUACGUAUGUUACAAACCCAACAAUACACUGAUGUAAUGAUUGCUUUAUAUGAUCUCAUGUCUUUUAAAGAAGCCAAGAGACCAAAGAACACAAAUGGAUUUAUUGGGUUUUAAAAAUAGUAACAUUAUUAUUUACCAUUUCUGAUUCUUUUCAUUUCCUCCUAUGGCUCUGAGUUACUAUCUGCUCUCUUUUUCUUAUGCCACUUCCUUUUCUACCCCUUUUGCCACUUUCGUUUCCACUCCUUCUGUUGUAUUGUUAUUGUAAAAUAUAUUACAUUCUUGUCCCUACAGGCCCAAUAAUGCAAUUUUGUAGAUACUAUUUUAUGCAAUUUUUUUUACAUUAGCUAAGAGGAGGCAUACAGAAAAACUUAGUUUUUGUUUUAUCAUUACCUGUAUCAUUACCUUUACUGGAGCUCUUUGAUUUUUCCUGUUUAUUCAGAUCACUUUCUGGUGUCACUUACUUUUAGCCUGAAGAACUUCCUUUCAUACUACUUGUAAGGUGGGUUUGCCAGUGCUGAAUUCCCUUAGCUUUAUCAGUAAGAACAGUAAAAUACUAUGGCGCUCAACUCCAGAGUUUCCAUUUGGCUCUUUUUAGCUUUACAAAUUAUUUCUAAUUUCUAUGUCUUCAUUAAUGUUCUCUAUUUGGUGAGUCAUCGUUAUUGUACCUUCUUUUAAUUCUUUAAACAUGGCUCCUUUUGGUUUUUGACCACAUUUAUGAUAGCUGCUUUGAGUUUAUGUCUGUUAAAUUCCAACACCUGGAAGCCCUUAAAGGCAAAGGCAGUUUCUGUUGCCUGCAUCUUCCCCCACCCUCACUGGGUGUGCAUUACACUCCUUUCUUUAAGUUUCAUAUUUCUUUUGUGAAAAAUUGGACAUUUUAGGUAAUAGCAGAUCUGGGUACUGAUCUCUACUCCUCAGGAGUUUGUUAUUGUUUUCUUGUCUGCUAGGUCAUUUAUUUAGUGGCUUAGCUGUAUUAUCCAGUGAAGUCUAUAUCCCCCAAAGUGUGCAGUCCCCGAAUGCUCCCCUGAAGGCAUAGGACAUCACCUGAACUCUCCUCCUCUAGGGUUAACCAUGUUUUUGGUGGAGGUCUCUGACUGUCUGUUUCUCUGAUAUCACUGUUGAACUUCUACCUGCCCUGCCUCUAGUAUUCCAUCCAGGUGUUAUCCUCCACUAAUUGCCAGCUGAUUGCUGUUUUUAUUGUCAGGCCCUGAAGAAUAAAUUGUCCCCUAGUCUGAUCCAAUUAAUGUCUUUCUGCUUAGCAGGACUUUCUUUGAAGCUGUCUUUGAGACUUACUGACAGCCUCAGGAGAACUCUUCUUAGCUCUCGCUCUCUUUUUCUCUCUGUUGAAUUUCUAGCUGAUCCUAUUUCACUCGUUGCCAUCAUGGAGCUACCAGCUUACUUUUUUUUUUUUUCCUGAGAUGGAGUCUCGCUCUGUCACCCAGGCUGGAGUAGAGUGGCACUAUCUCGGCUCACUGCAACCUCUGCCUUCUGGGUUCAAGCAAUUCUCCUGCCUCAGCCUCCUGAGUAGCUGGGAUUACAUCCACCACCACACCCAGCUAAUUUUUGUAUUUUUAGUGGAGACUGAGUUUCACCCUGUUGGCCAGGCUGGUCUCGAACUCCUGACAUCAGGUGAUCCACCCACCGCGGCCUCCCAAAGUGCCGGGAUUACUGUUAAUUGCUGAUCAUGAAAAUCUCAACUGUCUUUGAUCAUGCCCUUAGGCAUUUCCCUAUGCUCUAUUCUAAAUGAAGUCAGUUCCACUGGGGAGAGCUAUAGAGCUCUCUGUCCUUACUGAUUUUCUCUCCCUCUGAGAAGCUCUGUGCCACUGCUCUGAAGCUGGGGGUCAGGAUGGUAGCUUGCUUCUCUUGGAGUAACACCCUGCUCCACCCUUGGGGUGAUGAGCAUAGUCAGUAGACUCUGGUCUUCUUGGCUUCCCUAUCCUGGCAUUGAAUCUCCAUCCUAUAAGCAAGCUGGUUUGAGGACAGUUGGGCCCAGAAUUUUCACCCUGCUGUACCUGUGUAGAGCUUCUGCCCUAUGAAUGGGGUUGGGUGGAAGAAGAGAUCCCAAGAGUUCUCAGCCACAUUUGCCAGAAUUAGAGAUUCUUCAACACAGAGCUGAGGUGGGGGAAUGAGAAAUGUUGGUGUCUUGCCUCUCCUAGCGAAUAAUUAUAAUUCUAGAUCAGAAAGUAGGGGGAGAAGGAGCCUCAUCUUCUUGACUCCACCUGCCCAGAGUACAGGUCUCAUCACACAAGGGGUUUGUUGAAAGAGUAGGUUGGUCCUCAGAUGCCAUAGUACGUUACCGUUCUUUUUGAGAUUAUUCAGAUUCUCCUGAAUAGUGUUUCUCCAUUUGCUGUAUGCCUUUGGGACAAUUUCCAGAAAUUUUAAAUGAUUGUUUUUGUUAAAAAAUUUUUUUCCUCCGCCAAUUAUUGUCAUUUUGCCGAGAAUAACGUUUGCAGAGCUCCUCAUGCCACCAUUCCAGAAGUGCUUGCCUUUGUUUUUGAAAGAUAUUUUUGUCGGGCAUGGGAGUCUAAGUUUACACUUUUUGUAUGGUACUUUAAAAGUUUUGCUUCACUAUCUUCUUGCUUGCCUUGUUUCUGCUGUCAUCCUUGUCUUGUUUCCUUUCUGUGUUUCAUGCCAUUUUCCUCUGGCUAAUUUCAAGAUUUUCUAGUUGCAAGUAUUUUGGUUAUAAUAUGCCUUUGUGUAUUUUUUCAUGUUUCUUUGGAGCUUCUUGAGUUUCUUGGAUCUGUGAUCUUAUAGCUUUCAUUAAAUUUGGAAAAAUAUUUGGCCCUGUUUUUUUCAGACCUUUUUUUUCCUGUUAACCCUCCUACAUGAUCUUGAUUUAGCAACUCCAACUCCAUGUUUAUUAGGUCGCUUGAAGUUAUUCCUCAGCUCACUGGUGUUUUUUAUGUUUUUGAGUGAAAACUUCACUUUUACUUCACUUCAUUUUCAAUAGUUUCUAUGGCUAUGUUUUCAAAUUCACUAUUCUUUUUCUACUUCAGUGUCUAACCUGUUGUUAAUCUCAUCCAGUGCAUAUUUCAUAUCAGUUAUUACAGUUUUCACCUCUAGAAGUUUACCUUGGGGUUUUAAAAAUACUUCUGUGUUACUAUUUUAAAGUAUUAAAUCUUCCCUUUAGCUUUUUGAAUAUAGUUAUAGUAAUUAUUUAUAUGUUUUUAUGUCCUUGUGUGCUAAUUUUGGUCCGUUCUGGGUCACUUUUGAUUGAUUGAUUUUACACCUUAUUAUAAAUUGUAUUAUCCUGCUUCUUUGCCUACCUUAUAAUUUUUGAUUAAAUAACAUGUAUUGUGAA